UAUCCGCCCGGGAACUACGAGCCUUAGCUUAAAACCCAAAGGACUUGGCGGUGCUUAAGAUCCACCUAGAGGAGCCUGUUCUAGAACCGAUAACCCCCGUUCAACCUCACCCCCUCUUGUUCUUACCGUCUAUAUACCGCCGUCGUCAGCCUACCCUAUGAAGGAUUCAAAGUAAGCACAAUUGGCACAGCCUAAAACGUCAGGUCGAGGUGUAGCGAAUGAAGGGGGAAGAAAUGGGCUACAUUCUCUAUUUAAGAGUAAACGAAAAGAAGACUGAAACAUCUUCUGGAAGGAGGAUUUAGUAGUAAGGAAUGAAUAGAGCGCAUUCCUGAAAUUGGCCCUAAAGCGCGCACACACCGCCCGUCACC
rnacentral:rRNA from 1 species